rnacentral:rRNA from 1 species
GAUGAACGCUGGCGGCGUGCCUAAUACAUGCAAGUCGAGCGAACAGACGAGGAGCUUGCUCCUUUGACGUUAGCGGCGGACGGGUGAGUAACACGUAGGUAACCUACCUAUAAGACUGGGAUAACUUCGGGAAACCGGAGCUAAUACCGGAUAAUAUUUCGAACCGCAUGGUUCGAUAGUGAAAGAUGGCUUUGCUAUCACUUAUAGAUGGACCUGCGCCGUAUUAGCUAGUUGGUAAGGUAACGGCUUACCAAGGCAACGAUACGUAGCCGACCUGAGAGGGUGAUCGGCCACACUGGAACUGAGACACGGUCCAGACUCCUACGGGAGGCAGCAGUAGGGAAUCUUCCGCAAUGGGCGAAAGCCUGACGGAGCAACGCCGCGUGAGUGAUGAAGGUCUUCGGAUCGUAAAACUCUGUUAUUAGGGAAGAACAAACGUGUAAGUAACUGUGCACGUCUUGACGGUACCUAAUCAGAAAACCACGGCUAACUACGU